rnacentral:rRNA from 1 species
GGGUCAGUAGGUUGGUCGUGCCACUGGUACGUACUGGUCUCACUGAUUCCUCCUUCCUGAAGAACCGUAAUGCCAUUAAUUUGGUGUUGCGGGGAAACAGGACUGUUACUUUGAAAAAAUUAGAGUGUUUAAAGCAAGCUAAUGCUUGAAUACAUUAGCAUGGAAUAAUGAAAUAGGACGAUCGAUCCUAUUUUGUUGGUUUCUAGGAUUGACGUA